rnacentral:rRNA from 1 species
AGCGCAGGCGGAUUUUCAAGUCGAUGGUGAAAUCUUGCAGCUUAACUGCAAAACUGCCGUCGAUACUGUUUAUCUUGAGUAUGGAAGAGGGCGAUAGAAUUCAUGGUGUAGCGGUGAAAUGCGUAGAUAUCAUGAAGAAUACCGGUCGCGAAGGCGGUCGCCUGGUCCAUUACUGACGCUCAUGCUCGAAAGUGUGGGGAGCAAACAGGAUUAGAUACCCUGGUAGUCCACACCCUAAACUAUGAAUACUCGAUGUUGGGUCGCAAGACUCAGUGUCAACGCUAACGCAUUAAGUAUUCCACCUGGGGAGUACGAUCGCAAGGUUGAA